rnacentral:rRNA from 1 species
AAGCUCGUAGUUGAAUUUCGAGACCAAUAUGUCGGUCGUGCUUCGGUACGUACUGUCAUAAUUGGUUUCUCCCUUCUGAAGAACCUUGAUGUCAUUAAUUUGGUGUCUUGGGGAAUCAGGACUGUUACUUUGAAAAAAUUAGAGUGUUUAAAGCAGGCUCGCGCUUGAAUACAUUAGCAUGGAAUAAUGAAAUAGGACGUUUGAUUCUAUUUUGUUGGUUUCUAGGAUCGACGUAAUGAUUAAUAGGGAUAGUUGGGGGCAUUAGUAUUCAAUUGUCAGAGGUGAAAUUCUUGGAUUUAUUGAAGACUAACUACUGCGAAAGCAUUUGCCAAGGAUGCUUUCAUUAAUCAAGAACGAAAGUUAGGGGAUCGAAGACGAUCAGAUACCGUCGUAGUCUUAACCAUAAACUAUGCCGACUAGGGAUCGGAUGAUGUUAAUUUUUUAAUGACUCAUUCGGCGCCUUACGGGAAACCAAAGUGUUUGGGUUCCGGGGGGAGUAUGGUCGCAAGGCUGAAACUUAAAGGAAUUGACGGAAGGGCACCACCAGGGGUGGAGCCUGCGGCUUAAUUUGACUCAACACGGGGAAACUCACCAGGUCCAGACAUAGUAAGGAUUGACAGAUUGAGAGCUCUUUCUUGAUUCUAUGGGUG